rnacentral:tRNA from 1 species
GCUCUUGUGGCCCAGUUGGUUCGUGCGUCGUACUUAUAUAAGCAGUGCAGGAGUAUAUGCGAAGGUCGAGGGUUCGGUCCGCUCGGGGAGCA